GAUGAACGCUGGCGGCGUGCCUAAUACAUGCAAGUCGAGCGAACAGACGAGGCGCUUGCUCCUCUUACGUUAGCGGCGGACGGGUGAGUCACACGUGGAUAACCUACCUAUAAGGCUGGGAUAACUUCGGGAGACCGGAGCCAAUACCGGAUCAUAUAUUGAACCGCAUGGUUCUAUAGUGCAAGACGGUUCUGCUGUCACUUAUACAUGGAUCCUCGCCGCAUUAGCUAGUUGGUAAGGUAACGGCUUACCAAGGCAACGAUGCGUAGCCGACCUGAGAGGGUGAUCGGCCACACUGGAACUGAGACACGGUCCAGACUCCUACGGGAGGCAGCAGUAGGGAAUCUUACGCAAUGGGCGAAAGCCUGACGGAGCAACGCCGCGUGAGUGAUGAAGGUCUUCGGAUCGUAAAACUCUGUUAUUAGGGAAGAACAGAUGUGUAAGUAACUAUGCACGUCUUGACGGUACCAAAACAGAAAGCCACGGCUAACUACGUG
rnacentral:rRNA from 1 species